CUUGUACUCCCUCCGUCCGAAAAUACUUGUCAUUGAAAUGGAUGUAUCUAGAUGUAUUUUAGUUCUAGACACAUCCAUUUUGAUGACAAGUAAUUUCGGACGGAGGAGUACUUG
rnacentral:pre_miRNA from 1 species